rnacentral:rRNA from 1 species
AUUGAACGCUGGCGGCAGGCCUAACACAUGCAAGUCGAGCGGAGCGGCGGACGGGUGAGUAAUGCCUAGGAAUCAGCCUGGUAGUAGGGGAUAACGUCCGGAAACGGGCGAUAAUACCGCAUACUAUUAGAUGAGCCUAGGACGGAUUAGCUAGUUGGUGGGGUAAAGGCCUACCAAGGCGAAGAUCCGUAACUGGUCUGAGAGGAUGAUCAGUCACACUGGAACUGAGACACGGUCCAGAAGCCAACGGGAGGCAGCAGUGGGGAAUAUUGCACAAUGGGCGAAAGCCGGAUCCAGCCCGGCCGCGUGUGUGAAGAAGGUCUUCGGAUUGUAAAGCAUUUUAAGUUGGGAUGCGUUACCAACAGAAUAAGCACCGGCUAACUCCGUGCCAGCCGCCGCGGUAAUAC